CCCAAAAAUUUCAGCCCUUAAAAAACAAAGCUCAAAGCUUACAGCUAUCAAUCAACCGUGAAGCAGCUUUUUAUAGAAUUUGAUAACAAAGAUGAAACGGGUUCGCAAUUGGCCUCAAUAACAAUAAGAAUAAUGUAGGCUCUUCAAACCAAUUUGGAUGGAAAAGCUAAGCAGUAUAAAGAUCCUACUUUGACCCAUUUAUGUCUCAUGAAUAAUAUUCAUUAUAUGGUCAGAUCUAUGCGCAGGUCAGAAGCCAAGGAUUUGUUAGGGGAUGAUUGGGUGUAGAGACAACCGGCAUUAUCAAAAAGGAAAAAAAAAAAACCCAAAAAUUUCAGCCCUUAAAAAACAAAGCUCAAAUCGUAAACU